rnacentral:rRNA from 1 species
GCGGUAAUACGUAGGGCGCAAGCGUUGUCCGGAAUUAUUGGGCGUAAAGAGCUCGUAGGCGGCUUGUCACGUCGGGUGUGAAAGACCGGGGCUUAACCCCGGUUCUGCAUUCGAUACGGGCUAGCUAGAGUGUGGUAGGGGAGAUCGGAAUUCCUGGUGUAGCGGUGAAAUGCGCAGAUAUCAGGAGGAACACCGGUGGCGAAGGCGGAUCUCUGGGCCAUUACUGACGCUGAGGAGCGAAAGCGUGGGGAGCGAACAGGAUUAGAUACCCUGGUAGUCCACGCCGUAAACGGUGGGAACUAGGUGUUGGCGACAUUCCACGUCGUCGGUGCCGCAGCUAACGCAUUAAGUUCCCCGCCUGGGGAGUACGGCCGCAAGGCUAAAACUCAAAGGAAUUGACGGGGGCCCGCACAAGCAGCGGAGCAUGUGGCUUAAUUCGACGCAACGCGAAGAACCUUACCAAGGCUUGACAUAUACCGGAAAGCAUUAGAGAUAGUGCCCCCCUUGUGGUCGGUAUACAGGUGGUGCAUGGCUGUCGUCAGCUCGUGUCGU